UUGGUUUAAAAAAGCGCGCUUAAGCGCAAAAAAGCGCGCGCUUUUGGUGAAGCGCAGCUGUGGGCUUUUUUCUGGGCGAAGCGCGCUCACCUACACGAAGCGCCGAAAAGCGCACAAAAGCGCACAAAGCGCAGAAAAGCGCAAAGCGCAGAAAAGCGGGCUUUUAGUAUGUUAGGGUUAGGUUUUUAAAUUUUAAAAAAACUAGGUUUUAUUUCAUAAAAUCAAAGGCUUGCCUCCAGCGUCCAGCCGUCUUCUCCCAUCCCUCUCGCGUCCUGCCGUCGCGCGCCGCCGCCUGCCGUCGCGCGCUGCCGCCUGCCGUCGCGCGCCGCCUCCAGCCCGCCGCCGUCGUCGCCAGCUGUCCGCCGGUCAUCGUCCAAGUUUUUUAAUGACUUCAAAUAGUUCACAAGUAGCAUCAUCAACGGAUGGAGAUGAUCCAGCUAAAAGAUAUGAGGUUGGGGAGGAGAUGGAAGAGGACAUUGGUGAAGACAAAGAUGAUGAAGGAGAUGGGGAUGAUGCACUUAAUGAUGAUGAUUUUUGAUUAGUUGCUUGAGAUUUGAUUGAACUUUUAGACUUGCGUACUUUAAACUUAAGUAUUUGUGUGUUUUAAUUUUUAAAUUAAGUAUUUGUGUGUUUAAGUA